GCAGCGCCUGAGCCCGCCGGGCCGCCCCCCCGCCGCCGGGCACCCAAGGGUUAAUGGCGGCAGCAGCACCGAGCUGGGCCGCUCGCUACGGAGCCAUAUUACCGCAGUGCUGAGGGGCGGGCAAGGAGGGGGCGGGAGCUCGUGGCCUGCGCGCUCGCUCAUUGGUCAGCGCUCCAGCGAGGCGGGAGGCCGGGAGAGUCUUUGAGUCGUGAUAGGCUAAAAGCAACGUCAAUCAGCACCUCUCUCCUCUGCCUCUGUCAAACCGUUGGAACGGGACCCGGCGCCGAUUGGCGCGCCGACUUCCGGUAGGAGGGACGGCACCGGAAAGAGAGGUUGCUGAUUGGAAGACGACGGUUUUGAUUGACGUUGCUCGCACUCCGUCACGUGGUGGAGGGAGCUGUUUAUAUCACGUGCACACCAGGAUUUGCCACCGCACCGCUCCACCAGGAACGCCCGUCCCACCGUCCCAACAGCAGCACUGGGAACGCCUGUCCCCAGCACACUGCAGCACUGGAAAUGCCAGUUCCCACCAGCCCAAGGGCUGAAGCACUGGAAACUCCUGUCCUGUCCUCCACGUGGCCCCAUGCAGCCUCCAGCAGGGCCACGGGUGCUGGUGAGGUUGUCCUCAGCAGGAAGACCUUCCCCAUUGGAAGGCGCCUUCAUUUACCUCUAUCACUGGGGACUGUGAAAUAUUGAUGCUACGCUGGCGUAUGUUGUACCAAUGUUGUACUUAGCAUGCAUGGUGAACCCAUGCAUUAAAAAUAAA